rnacentral:rRNA from 1 species
UUUUGAAACGCGUCAAAGCGUAACUUUAACACCCAAAAUACCAUUAAUUUUUAUGAACCCCUAAUUUAUAAUGAAUGACUCCAUAUUUAUAUGGAAGACACCAUGCUAGGAUUAGUAACAAGAAUUUAUAAUUCUCCAAAAUGCAAAUAUAAACCAACAUGGAUAGACCAUUGGUAGUUACCGAACCUAAAUUUAAUGCAAUAACAUCCACAAGAAAACUCUGCAGCACUCACUCGUUAACCUAACACCAGCGCAUUACAGGAAAGAUUCAAAAAAAGAGAAGGAAUUCGGCAAAUGACGGCCCCGCCUGUUUACCAAAAACAUCGCCUCUUGACUUAUAAUAAGAGGUCUAGCCUGCCCAGUGAAUUUUAAACGGCCGCGGUAUCCUAACCGCGCGAAGGUAGCAUAAUCACUUGUUCUUUAAAUGGGGACUCGUAUCAACGGCAUCACGAGGGUUUUACUGUCUCCUCUUUUUGAUCAGUGAAAUUGAUCUUCCCGUGAAGAAGCGGGAAUAUUUUUAUAAGACGAGAAGACCCCAUGGAGCUUUAAACCAAAUAACAACUUAACCACUUAUCCCAUAAUAAAUUUAACCCCUGUUAUAAGGUUUUUGGUUGGGGUGACCGCGGAGUAAAGCACAUCCUCCACGACGGAAAGAAUAAAAUCUUUAUUUAAGAACCACACUUCUAGAAAUUAGUAUACUAACGUUUACUGACCCGACAAUCGAUCAACGGACCAAGUUACCCUGGGGAUAACAGCGCAAUCUACUUCGAGAGCUCAUAUCGACAAGUAGGCUUACGACCUCGAUGUUGGAUCAGGGUAUCCCGGUGGUGCAGCCGCUACCGAAGGUUCGUUUGUUCAACGAUUAAAACCCUACGUGAUC